rnacentral:lncRNA from 1 species
AACGAGUUGAGUUUUGUGGAGAAUUGGCCAAAGGAGUUUCUGUCAUGUUCGGCCCCCGAAGGUUAAGUUCAGCCGCCGAAAGUGCCCAAUGUUCGGCCCUCGAAGGUUAUGUUCGGCCCCCGAAAGUUGCAUGGUUUUGCAUGCAGUUUCGGCAACCGAAGCUGAGGUGGUCGGUUAGUUGUGCACGCUCCUCAGUCCGUGGUUUGGCCAGGUGUUCACCUCCAGAUCAUGAUCAGAGGUUAGGCCACGUCUCCCUUGACUCAUCUGCAAGCUUUUAAGCAGCUCAUGCAGAGGGUUGCUCGUUUGCAAGAGGUUUUGAAGGUUUUGAGAGAAAAGAGAGNNNN